AUGCCAUGGUGUGGACAAUGUUUUUGCAAAGCCUUGUAUCUCUGCAAUGCCUCAUAGAGAGACUCCAAUUCAUGUUGUUAAAAACCAAAUAUCUCGUUUUUGAACUU